rnacentral:rRNA from 1 species
UGGGGAAUAUUGCACAAUGGGCGCAAGCCUGAUGCAGCCAUGCCGCGUGUAUGAAGAAGGCCUUCGGGUUGUAAAGUACUUUCAGCGGGGAGGAAGGGAGUAAAGUUAAUACCUUUGCUCAUUGACGUUACCCGCAGAAGAAGCACCGGCUAACUCCGUGCCGGCAGCCGCGGUAAUACGGAGGGUGCAAGCGUUAAUCGGAAUUACUGGGCGUAAAGCGCACGCAGGCGGUCUGUUAAGUCAGAUGUGAAAUCCCCGGGCUCAACCUGGGAACUGCAUCUGAUACUGGCAAGCUUGAGUCUCGUAGAGGGGGGUAGAAUUCCAGGUGUAGCGGUGAAAUGCGUAGAGAUCUGGAGGAAUACCGGUGGCGAAGGCGGCCCCCUGGACGAAGACUGACGCUCAGGUGCGAAAGCGUGGGGAGCAAACA